CCUACGGUGGUCAGCAGUGGGGAAUAUUGGACAAUGGGCGAAAGCCUGAUCCAGCCAUGCCGCGUGUGUGAAGAAGGCCUUCGGGUUGUAAAGCACUUUCAGUGGGGAAGAAAGCCUUGGGGCUAAUACCCUCGAGGAAGGACAUCACCCACAGAAGAAGCACCGGCUAACUCCGUGCCAGCAGCCGCGGUAAUACGGAGGGUGCGAGCGUUAAUCGGAAUUACUGGGCGUAAAGCGCGCGUAGGCGGUCUGAUAAGCCGGUUGUGAAAGCCCCGGGCUCAACCUGGGAACGGCAUCCGGAACUGUCAGGCUAGAGUGCAGGAGAGGAAGGUAGAAUUCCCGGUGUAGCGGUGAAAUGCGUAGAGAUCGGGAGGAAUACCAGUGGCGAAGGCGGCCUUCUGGACUGACACUGACGCUGAGGUGCGAAAGCGUGGGUAGCAAACAGGAUUAGAUACCCCAGUAGUC
rnacentral:rRNA from 1 species